rnacentral:rRNA from 1 species
UACGAAGGGGGCUAGCGUUGCUCGGAAUCACUGGGCGUAAAGCGCACGUAGGCGGAUUGCUAAGUCAGGGGCGAAAUCCUGGAGCUCAACUCCAGAACUGCCUUUGAUACUGGCGAUCUCGAGUCCGGGAGAGGUGAGUGGAACUGCGAGUGUAGAGGUGAAAUUCGUAGAUAUUCGCAAGAACACCAGUGGCGAAGGCGGCUCACUGGCCCGGUACUGACGCUGAGGUGCGAAAGCGUGGGGAGCAAACAGG